rnacentral:rRNA from 1 species
GACGGAGGGUGCAAGCGUUGUUCGGAAUUACUGGGCGUAAAGCGCGGGCAGGUGGCUCUUUAAGUCCUUUGUGAAAUUCCGGAGCUCAACUCCGGAUGUGCAUAGGAUACUGGAAGGCUAGAGACUGGUAGAGGCGAGCGGAAUUCCUGGUGUAGCGGUGGAAUGCGUAGAUAUCAGGAAGAACACCGGUGGCGAAGGCGGCGCGCUGGGCCAGUUCUGACACUCAUCCGCGAAAGCGUGGGGAGCAAACAGG